ACUCCUACGGGAGGCAGCAGUAGGGGAAUCUUCCACAAUGGGCGAAAGCCUGAUGGAGCAACGCCGCGUGGGUGAAGAAGGUCUUCGGAUCGUAAAACCCUGUUGUUAGAGAAGAAAGUGCGUGAGAGUAACUGUUCACGUUUCGACGGUAUCUAACCAGAAAGCCACGGCUAACUACGUGCCAGCAGCCGCGGUAAUACGUAGGUGGCAAGCGUUAUCCGGAUUUAUUGGGGCGUAAAGGGAACGCAGGCGGUCUUUUAAGUCUGAUGUGAAAGCCUUCGGCUUUAACCGGAGUAGUGCAUUGGAAACUGGGAGACUUGAGUGCAGAAGAGGAGAGUGGAACUCCAUGUGUAGCGGUGAAAUGCGUAGAUAUAUGGAAGAACACCAGUGGCGAAAGCGGCUCUCUGGUCUGUAACUGACGCUGAGGUACGAAAGCGUGGGUAGCAAACAGGAUUAGAUA
rnacentral:rRNA from 1 species